CAAUAGCGUAUAUUAAUGUUGUUGCAGUUAAAAAGCUCGUAGUUGGAUUUCUGCGCCGCGCAGCUCGGUCCGCCGCAAUGCGGUGCGACUGUGGCUGGAGCGUCGCAUCCUUGUGGAGACCUUUGAUGCCAUUGAUUUGGUGUCUUAUGGGAACCGCAUCGUUUACUGUGAAAAAAUUAGAGUGUUCAAAGCAGGCAUACGCCGUGAAUACAUUAGCAUGGAAUAAUAAGAUAGGACUUUGGUUCUAUUUUGUUGGUCGGAGGCCAAGGUAAUGAUUAAUAGGGAUAGUUGGGGGUAUUCAUAUUUAAUUGUCAGAGGUGAAAUUCUUGGAUUUAUGAAAGAUGAACUUAUGCGAAAGCAUUUACCAAGGAUGUUUUCAUUA
rnacentral:rRNA from 1 species